rnacentral:rRNA from 1 species
UACAGAGGGUGCGAGCGUUAAUCGGAGUUACUGGGCGUAAAGGGCGCGUAGGCGGUGAGAUUGAGUGUGAUGUGAAAAGCCCCGGGCGUUAACCUGGGAAGUGCAUCGCAAACUAUCUGACUGGAGUAUAUGAGAGGGUGGGCGGAAUUUCCGGUGUAGCGGUGAAAUGCGUAGAGAUCGGAAGGAACGGUCGAUGGCGAAGGCGAAGCCACCGUGGCAUUAAUACUGACGCUGAUGCGCGAAAGGCGUG